UACGGGAGGCAGCAGUGGGGAAUAUUGCACAAUGGGCGAAAGCCUGAUGCAGCAACGCCGCGUGAAGGAAGAAGGCCCUUGGGUCGUAAACUUCUGUUCUAAGGGAAGAUAAUGACGGUACCUUAGGAGCAAGUCCCGGCUAACUACGUGCCAGCAGCCGCGGUAAU
rnacentral:rRNA from 1 species